GGAGAGAUGGCUCAGUGGUUAUGAGCACUGACUGCUCUUCCAGAGGUCCUGAGUUCAAUUCCCAGCAACUACA
rnacentral:tRNA from 1 species